GACGAACGCUGGCGGCGUGCUUAACACAUGCAAGUCGAACGAUGAAGAAAAGAAUUGAAGCUUCGGCAGAAAUUCAUUUCGGAUUAGUGGCAGACGGGUGAGUAACGCGUGAGCAACCUACCUCUUACAAAGGGAUAGCCUCGGGAAACCGGGAUUAAUACCAUAUAACAUUGCGACGAAGCAUUUCGAUGCAAUCAAAGCUACGGCGGUAAGAGAUGGGCUCGCGUCCCAUUAACCAGAUGGUGAGGUAACGGCUCACCAUAGUAACGAUGGGUAACCGGCCUGAGAGGGUGAACGGUCACACUGGAACUGAGACACGGUCCAGACUCCUACGGGAGGCAGCAGUGGGGAAUAUUGCACAAUGGAGGGAACUCUGAUGCAGUGACGCCGCGUGAGUGAUGAAGGAAUUCGUUUCGUAAAACUCUGUUCUAUGGGAAGAAAAGGACUGUACCAUAGGAGAAAGCUCCGGCUAAAUACGUG
rnacentral:rRNA from 1 species